rnacentral:rRNA from 1 species
GAUGAACGCUGGCGGCGUGCCUAAUACAUGCAAGUCGAGCGAACAGACGAGGAGCUUGCUCCUCUGACGUUAGCGGCGGACGGGUGAGUAACACGUGGAUAACCUACCUAUAAGACUGGGAUAACUUCGGGAAACCGGAGCUAAUACCGGAUAAUAUCUUGAACCGCAUGGUUCAAUAGUGAAAGACGGUUUUGCUGUCACUUAUAGAUGGAUCCGCGCCGCAUUAGCUAGUUGGUAAGGUAACGGCUUACCAAGGCAACGAUGCGUAGCCGACCUGAGAGGGUGAUCGGCCACACUGGAACUGAGACACGGUCCAGACUCCUACGGGAGGCAGCAGUAGGGAAUCUUCCGCAAUGGGCGAAAGCCUGACGGAGCAACGCCGCGUGAGUGAUGAAGGUCUUCGGAUCGUAAAACUCUGUUAUUCGGGAAGAACAAAUGUGUAAGUAACUAUGCACGUCUUGACGGUACCUAAUCAGAAAGCCACGGCUAACUACGUG